AAACUAUUUCAACUCCUUUGGGCCUGCUUACGAAUGAAAACCAUUUCUGAAGUCAGCCUGAUAACUGCUGUUGCUGUAACCUUGGGAUGACCUCUAAGCCCCCUGCCUGUGUCCAUUGAAACAAUGGCUAGCAUUGAAACACACUCUGAAUGGGCAACUCGGCUGGGUCAGUUCUUCACAGGGGCUUGGCCCAGUGUCUGGCAGACAGGAGGCACUCAAUAAAUAGCAGUUGUUUUUAUUUUAUAAAUGAGACACCUGAGGCUCAGAGGGUCAGGUAACUGACCUCAAGUUACCCAUCAGUGAGUGGCAAAACUGGGAAAAACCCCAGCUCAGCUUGAUCUGGAAACCUUGGCCUCAUUUCACCCGGCACAGUGCCUCUGCAGAGACAGAGGGCUCCUUUGUGGAGCCCUCGAGUGCUAGACGGACCCACAAAAUUACUCAUCAGCUGCAGUCCGCCCCGACUAGUUGUGGACGAUGUCUGCCAGCUGCCUACAGAAUCCACCCUUUUCCUUUGGAAUUCCCUCCUUCUCCUGACGCUGACAAUACCCUUGCCCUUCAGAGGACCUGCCUUCCCACUCUCCAUUGGACACUGUGGAACUUCUUGGCGUCCAGUCCCAAGGGCACAGCCACCGCAGGACUUCACGUCUGCCUGCCUGAGCAGGGCUGGUGUCUUAUGAAUGGCAGCUGAGACCCAGUUCAGGCUCACGACCUCAUAUCACAGAAAUGAACUCAAAGGAAAAUGACUAAUCACCGACCUACUCAGAAUCAUUGGUCCCCGGCAAGCAAGGGUGAUCCUGCAUCAAUCUAUUAAUUUUCAUUUCCAGGGUUCUCAGAUGUAAAACAAAUGUUUGAUGUAAUCCGCAACACUGCUCUGUUAUAAUUAAACAACCUCCUACUGCCUAAAUUGGCAAAGCACUCCAUCGAUCAGUGAUAAAUGUGGUCCUUGGGAGACUGCUUUUAUGUUUGUUUCACUCAUGGGAAAAUGGCCACAACCCUUUUGUAAGAUUCCUCGGCUGCUGCUCUCCCCAGGUUACAAUCAUAGUAACUGCUGCUUCUGGGAUGCCUCGCUGUAAUCCUCAUGUUCAAUGAUGGCUCAAUGGAUAUGUGCUUGAAGGAGAGUGAGUGAUGGGGAGUCUACAGUUAUGAAUAAAAUAUAUUCAAGUCAAUAAACCCUUCCUGGGUUCCUUUGCCUCACCAUUUUAUGCACAAUUUAUGAAGCACCCUACACAUACCAGGAGCUAUUUGCAAUGUUUAAGAUGUGGGAGCCCCCAUAAUUCUAAAUAUGUCAUGUAUCAUCUACUUUCCUCUUUGCAAAGUGGAGGGGUUGGAUUCCUGCCAGGCCUGAUAAUAUAGAUCUGCUGUUCACACAUAGCAUAUAGGAGGCCCUGAUGACUUCCUACUCAUCGCUUCCCUCAUUGUCCAAUUGUUGGGGCCAUUGGGCUGCUGUAUUCAGGCCAGCCCUUGCCCUAGAUCCUAGGAUCCAGCCAGACUUGAGGCAAGGAGACACACUGCUGUCAGUGUUCCAUCACCCCUAUGGUUAGGCCUCACUGGCUCUGCCACAGUUCAGACACCAAGGCUCCUGCCUUAGUUUUCUAAGAGAUGUUCCCUACAUUGCACCUGAAUUCAUCCAGUUCAUUUUCACAGAAUAUACUUGACCUAGUUUAAGCAGAAAGGGAUGUAUCACAGGCUACUAAAUGGCUUAUGAAAUCCUUGGAAAAGCUGAAUAAAUAGACCUUAGGGGGAGCCCCUAGAGCUACUCUCAAAGCUAUCUAGCAGAACCUGGCCACAUUUCCAACCAGGAAGCUGCCUGCAGAAUCAGCAAACAGCCCCCACAUCCGCUGGCUUCAGAACCACCCACCUCUGCUCUCCCCACACAAGUGAGCAGACAUCUCAGCCCUGCCUUUCUGGCCACCUGACUGCUUGCAAAUUAAAUCUCUCCCAUUUGCACC
rnacentral:lncRNA from 1 species